rnacentral:rRNA from 1 species
CGCGACGGGUGCGUAACACGUAUGUAAUUUGCCCAUAACUGGGGGAUAGCCUUCCGAAAGGAAGAUUAAUACCCAUAACAUAAUGAAAAGGCAUCUUUUUAUUAUUAAAACUCCGGUGGUUAUGGAUGAGCAUGCGUCUGAUUAGCUAGUUGGCGAGGUAACGGCUCACCAAGGCAACGAUCAGUAGGGGGUCUGAGAGGAUGAUCCCCCACACGGGUACUGAGACACGGACCCG